CCCACGGACAUCCUAUACGGCCGCACUCCCGUGGGGCUGAUGUAUCGGCCGAGCGUCGAGGGCCUCGCGGCCGAGAAACCACUUCCUGUUUUGCACACUCACUCACUCCAUGGUGAAGGUGAUGUGAGGUGAGGUGACGUGACGUGAGAGCGCCUUUGCCUGCUGUGUCUGCCAGCUGUGACUCACAUGUGCCGCGGUAUCGCGUCUCACGGCCGCUUCAUGACAUGGUGCUAACCCUCACGAAAAGGUCGCGGGGAGCCGGAGCCUAACCCGGCAACAUAGG